GCCUAGAUAGCUCAGUUAGUAGAGCAGCUCACUUGUAAUGAGCAGGUCGGGGGUUCAAAUCCGCCUCUAGGCUCCA
rnacentral:tRNA from 1 species